AUGCAGAAGUCAAAGUCGAGCACCUCGCAUUGGCUGCUGAACAUCGGCUUGAUGGUGGCG
rnacentral:sRNA from 15 species